rnacentral:rRNA from 1 species
UGUCCGGAUUAUUGGGCGUAAAGAGCUUGUAGGCGGUUUGUCGCGUCUGCUGUGAAAGGCCGGAGCUUAACUCCGUGUAUUGCAGUGGGUACGGGCAGACUAGAGUGCAGUAGGGGAGACUGGAAUUCCUGGUGUAGCGGUGGAAUGCGCAGAUAUCAGGAGGAACACCGAUGGCGAAGGCAGGUCUCUGGGCUGUAACUGACGCUGAGAAGCGAAAGCAUGGGGAGCGAACAGGAUUAGAUACCCUGGUAGUCCAUGCCGUAAACGUUGGGCACUAGGUGUGGGGGACAUUCCACGUUUUCCGCGCCGUAGCUAACGCAUUAAGUGCCCCGCCUGGGGAGUACGGCCGCAAGGCUAAAACUCAAAGAAAUUGACGGGGGCCCGCACAAGCGGCGGAGCAUGCGGAUUAAUUCGAUGCAACGCGAAGAACCUUACCAAGGCUUGACAUAUACUGGACCGCAUCAGAGAUGGUGUUUCCCUUCGGGGCUGGUAUACAGGUGGUGCAUGGUUGUCGUCAGCUCGUGUCGUGAGAAG